AUUGAACGCUGGCGGCAGGCCUAACACAUGCAAGUCGAGCGGUUGACGGGAGCUUGCUCCCUGAUUCAGCGGCGGACGGGUGAGUAAUGCCUAGGAAUCUGCCUAUUAGUGGCGGACAACGUUUCGAAAGGAACGCUAAUACCGCAUACGUCCUACGGGAGAAAGCAGGGGACCUUCGGGCCUUGCGCUAAUAGAUGAGCCUAGGUCGGAUUAGCUUGUUGGUGAGGUAAUGGCUCACCAAGGCGACGAUCCGUAACUGGUCUGAGAGGAUGAUCAGUCACACUGGAACUGAGACACGGUCCAGACUCCUACGGGAGGCAGCAGUGGGGAGUAUUGGACAAUGGGCGAAAGCCUGAUUCAGCCAUGCCGCGUGUGUGAAGAAGGUCUUCGGAUUGUAAAGCACUUUAAGUUGGGAGGAAGGGUUGUAGAUUAAUACUCUGCAAUUUUGACGUUACCGACAGAAUAAGCACCGGCUAACUCUGUGCCAGCAGCCGCAGUAAGAC
rnacentral:rRNA from 1 species